CAGGAUAAAAACACCUACAGCUGUGUGCUCAAAAAUUCAUUCACUAAUCAGACUCAACAUCUGGACAUCACUCAACUCUGUCACACAUGUGCAGAAGUCCCUGUCUAUUGUUGUGAUACUGUCGAAGCUGUGAUCCGAUUGGUCGUCACUGUUCUGAUGGGCGUGGCUGCUGCGGCUGCUGCUGUGCUUCUGAUCAAUGACAUCAGAUUUACAAGAGGUGAAAAGAAGAAAACAGAACAGAUAUAAAUAUUCUGACAUAUGUUGGAGUUUUAAUCGUAAAGAUGAAAAUAUAUGUGUGGUCUCAUUGUUUGGUGAUUGUGAAAUGAAGCUUUGCUUAACAAUGCUUUCCUCUGAACUCAAUCGGAAAAGGUUCAUUACCCGAAUCUGGUGUAUUAGAGAUCAUCAUCUGGUAGACAAAACGAUGAAUAUUCUUUAAUAUUUUAUUUCAUUUUUUUUAAUGCCACCUAUUUUACAUUUAUUUUUCAACUACACUGUUAAUUUUUUAUUAAUUUGUUAUGCUGUAUUUUCAUUUUGUUUUAUUACUAUAUGCAGCAACCCAACAAAUACAAAGGUAAAAUUUGUGUUUGAAGGGUAAAAUUUUUGUUGAAAACUGAAUAUUACAAACUGGUGAAAGAUGAAAGAUCUAUGAAUCAUAUAAAUGCCUAAAUUUUAAUUGAAGGGGUGUCAUAAUAAGAAUAAACUAUGAAUUCAGAAUCAGACUGAAUGACAGAUGAAUAAAAACAGCAUUAAACAUUAAAAACACACAGUGGAAAAAGGCAAUAUUUCAUACACCUGUACAUUUUAAAGAUUUUGUAAAGAUUAUUUUGUAAAGAUUUUGAAAUCUAUAAUAGAAAACUGGGGUGUGUGAUAGAAAUGUGUGUAUGAUGUGCUUUAUGUAUUUUUUUCUCUAUUUCUGACUGCUAAUGUAAAUAAUAUGAUUAUUAGAAACACAAAUGUAGAAAUAUUUGUCAUGCCAAUAAAACACCAUAAAAUUAAACUAUCACUUUCCUACCUAACGAUACAAUAUAAACUAAAAUUGAAUGUUUUUACUUAGUUUGUCUGUACCAGCUUAUGGUUAUGAUGAGGGAAGAUCUUUGAAAUGUACUACUACACAAUAAAAAAAUAAAAUAAGAUAAUGAUUUUUCAGUA